GGAGGAGCCGGAAGGAGCGACAACCCGCCCGCCCGCCGGCCCCUCAGGCGGCCCCUCGCCGGUCCUCCAGCCUUCCAGCGAGAAGAAGGAAAGAGCGUCCCCGGAAGCCGCCGAGACGCGGGGCUAGAGCGGCACGCGCCGUUCGCCUUUCCGCCUCGUCUUCCGUGCUCGUCCUGGUUUCCGUGGCCGUUGUUUUUUCCGUGGCCGCCCUCUUUCUAGAAGGGGCGGUGGGCUCCACCUCCGCUUGGAAGGUCGGCGGGAGCUCAGAGGCGUCGGGUUUGGAGCCUCUGGAUUGGGCUGACCCUGAGACUCCCCAGUACAAUGACUCAAGCAGAAAUUAAGCUCUGUUCUUUGUUGCUGCAAGAGCAUUUUGGAGAGAUUGUAGAAAAAAUUGGAGUCCACCUGGUAAGAACUGGCAGCCAGCCACUAAGAGUAAUUGCCCAUGACACAGGAACAUCACUGGAUCAGGUGAAAAAAGCCCUGUGUGUUCUUGUCCAACAUAACCUGGUGAGUUACCAAGUGCACAAACGUGGCGUGGUGGAGUAUGAAGCCCAGUGCAGCCGGGUAUUACGAAUGCUGAGAUAUCCCCGGUACAUCUAUACUACCAAAACUCUGUACAGUGACACUGGAGAGCUGAUUGUUGAGGAGCUUCUGUUAAAUGGCAAACUGACAAUGUCAGCUGUUGUGAAGAAAGUGGCAGACCGGCUCACAGAGACCAUGGAGGAUGGCAAGACCAUGGACUAUGCUGAAGUAUCAAACACAUUUGUACGAUUGGCAGACACACACUUUGUACAACGCUGCCCCUCAGUACCUACCACUGAGAAUUCAGACCCUGGGCCGCCACCACCUGCCCCCACACUUGUCAUGAAUGAGAAGGACAUGUACCUGGUUCCUAAGCUGAGCUUGAUAGGGAAAGGUAAAAGGCGGAGGUCAUCUGAUGAAGAGGCUGCUGGGGAACCCAAGGCCAAGAGACCAAAACAUACUACAGAUAACAAGGAGCCCAUUCCAGAUGAUGGGAUUUAUUGGCAGGCCAACCUUGACAGAUUCCACCAACACUUCCGUGACCAAGCCAUCGUGAGUGCUGUUGCUAACAGGAUGGACCAGACAAGCAGCGAGAUUGUGCGAACCAUGCUCCGAAUGAGUGAGAUUACCACUUCCUCUAGUGCUCCUUUCACCCAGCCAUUGUCUUCCAAUGAGAUCUUCAGAUCCCUACCUGUUGGCUAUAACAUCUCUAAGCAAGUUCUUGAUCAGUAUCUCACUCUGCUGGCAGAUGAUCCACUAGAGUUUGUGGGAAAGUCUGGCGACAGUGGUGGAGGAAUGUAUGUCAUCAACCUCCAUAAGGCAUUAGCAUCUCUAGCCACAGCCACUCUGGAGUCUGUCGUACAAGAGAGAUUUGGGUCUCGCUGUGCUAGAAUAUUCCGUCUAGUUUUGCAGAAGAAACACCUGGAGCAGAAGCAAGUGGAAGACUUUGCAAUGAUUCCUGCAAAGGAGGCAAAGGAUAUGCUAUAUAAGAUGCUCUCAGAAAAUUUUAUAUCACUCCAGGAAAUUCCCAAAACACCAGACCAUGCCCCAUCCAGGACCUUCUAUUUAUAUACUGUGAACAUCCUGUCAGCUGCCCGGAUGUUGUUGCACAGGUGCUACAAGAGCAUAGCCAACUUGAUAGAAAGGAGGCAAUUUGAAACCAAAGAGAACAAGCGUCUGCUAGAAAAAUCUCAGCGGGUAGAGGCCAUCAUUGCAUCUAUGCAGGCUACAGGUGCAGAGGAGGCACAGUUACAAGAAAUAGAGGAGAUGAUCACAGCUCCUGAACGUCAGCAGCUAGAGACCCUGAAACGGAAUGUCAACAAGUUGGAUGCCAGUGAGAUCCAGGUGGACGAAACUAUCUUCCUGCUGGAGUCUUACAUUGAGUGCACCAUGAAGAGACUGUGACCCAGAAGAUCAUCUUCCUCAAAAGACUGGGGCGGGUUGCGGUGGAAAGCAAAAUAAAGGAGCCCAGGAUCCACCUGAAAGAAUUUGACAUUUUUAGAUCCAUCACCAUAUUGUCCACUCAUCAAAUCUUGGCCGUGGGAAGAACCUUAAAUCCACAGGAUUAAUCAUCUAUCAGAUGCAUCCGUUCCCAUAAAGAAGUUACCCACACCGACCCCCUUUCUGCCCUUUCGCGGUCCUGGAGCAGCAGCCCAGGGACCCUGGGGC